rnacentral:rRNA from 1 species
GACGAACGCUGGCGGCGUGCUUAACACAUGCAAGUCGAACGGAAAGGCCCUGCUUUUGUGGGGUGCUCGAGUGGCGAACGGGUGAGUAACACGUGAGUAACCUGCCCUUGACUUUGGGAUAACUUCAGGAAACUUGGGCUAAUACCGGAUAGGAGCUCUUGCUGCAUGGUGGGGGUUGGUAAGUUUCGGUGGUUGGGGAUGGUCUCGCGGCUUAUCAGCUUGUUGGUGGGGUAGUGGCUUACCAAGGCUUUGACGGGUAGCCGGCCUGAGAGGGUGACCGGCCACAUUGGGACUGAGAUACGGCCCAGACUCUUACGGGAGGCAGCAGUGGGGAAUAUUGCACAAUGGGCGGAAGCCUGAUGCAGCAACGCCGCGUGCGGGAUGACGGCCUUCGGGUUGUAAACCGCUUUCGCCUGUGACGAAGCGUGAGUGACGGUAAUGGGUAAAGAAGCCCCGGCUAACUACGUG